rnacentral:lncRNA from 1 species
AUUUUUUUUUCAAAUUCUGGGAGAUAAAUAGCUCUAAUUUUUUUUCUGAAUUUGUGUUAUAUUGUGUAGGUAUACAAUUGAUGGCCAGCAGUACGUCUAUUAAUUCUCAAAAACCAUUGAGAGGCAUCGAAUGAUCGUGGAUGUCUAACAAGGUCCUGGAACAAAGUUCCGAAUAUUAUGGAUCCUCGUGUUAAUCCUAAUUAGAGCCCUCCUAUGAAUCCUGUGUUCCAGUUUUGUAUGUUUCUUUACAUCCCUCUAAGAGGAAAGUGGUUACAGAUGUACCCUUUACAACAGAAGUCAGCGCGCUGUGGCUCACUGGUUAAAAAUGAACCACCACCUGUGUUCAUAUGGCCCUCAAAGGUAAGAAUGGUUCUUAGCUUUAAAAUUACUUAACUAUAAAACUCUAAAAACAUUCAAAUUGCAGCGUCCAUAAAUAAAGUUUUGUGGGAACACA